GCAAAUGGUGUGGUAGAGUUCACAGUGAUAGGGGAGAGAAAUUGAAGAUCAAGCCUUACUUAAUUCUUAGCUCAUUUGGACAUGAUAACACGGGGAGUGGAAAGAACUGAUGGUCAAGAGACCCGAUCAUACUUCACCAUUAGGUAAUAACUUCCUGCAGAAUGAGAACCUAAAUCUAAAUUAUUUGUCUGCAUUGAUGCAAAACAUGAGCAAUCAACUGGGGAUCUGAGCCAACAUGUUUCUGAGAUUGAGGCCUAACCCACCUCCACAAAUCCAUCCCUCACAGGGAGAAAUUGAGACAGGGGGAUACCAGAGGACAACUAGAAGAAAGGCAGAAUUCUCAUCAAUCCCAGGAGUAACAAGACCACCCUCACCACUGUGUCUGUGGAAACCACUUGGGCGUAAUAAUGAAGCCUUUCUGUCCCUCCCAGCCAGGACACUAUCAACAGAAGCCUAGAGAGGAGUCAGAAUUUCUACCCUCAUCUAUUACUGGGAUAUUUUGGUGGUCCAGGCUGGGUGGAUAAUGGGCUCAACUGAAACCCAGUGGGGACCUGAAUUUUACCUUUUCCUAACAGUAAUGAGUUGGUGCCCUACCCCUGCCACUAUUACAGCAGUGUCAGAGAAAAUCAGCUAGAAACAUAAGUUUUUACGUAAGAUCUAGAAUCUUGUAAAAUAAUAAAUAGUAUGGGUUUAAAUUGAUAUCACUCAUUAUACCAAGAACCAGGAAGACCUCAAACUGAAUGAAAAAAAAUAAUAAAUUCUAUGAUCAAGAUGACAGAGAUAUUAUAAUUAUCUGAGAUUUUAAAGCAGCCAUCAUAAAAGUGCUUCAAUGAGCAUUUACAAACAUACUUGAAUCAAAAGAAAAAAUAAAGUUUUAGCAAAGAAAUAAAGGCUUGACAAAUAGAGAAGAUAUAAAGAAGAAAAAAAGGAAUUCGAGAAUCAAAAAAUGUAGCAACCAAAAUAAAAAUUAAAACCAAAAACCCUCAAUUAUAGAUGCCUAUGCAAAUUGAAAGAGACAGAGGAAAGAAUCAGUGAACUGGAAGACAGAAAGAAUAAAUUACCCAGUCUGAACAAUAGAGAAAAAAAGACAAAAAUUGAACAGAGCCUUAUAGCUCUGUGGGGCUAUAAUAAAAAAUGUAACAUUUUGUGUCAUAAUAAUCCUGGGAGGAGAGAAGAAUGAGGGAAGACUGAAAAAAGUACUCAAGGAAACAGUGCCUAAUAAGUUAUCAAAUUUGGCAAAAGGCAUAAAUUUACAAAUUCAGGAACCUAAGUGAACUCCAAAUGCAAUAGAGCCAAGAAAAUAUGCCAAGAUACAUCAUAGUCAAGUAUCUGGAAACUAAAGACAAAGAAAAUACCAUGAAAUCACUGAGAGAAAUAUCAUCAUACUUAUGAAAGAAAAAAAAUACACCUGACAAAGAAUUCCUCUUCAGAAACUUGGAUGCCAGAAAAAAGUGGGACAGCAUUUUCAACUGUUGAAAAGUGAGGAACUGCAACCCCAAAUCCUAUAUCCAG
rnacentral:lncRNA from 10 species